ACGUACCGGACGAACGUUAUUCGGAAUUACUGGGCUUAAAGAGUGCGUAGGCGGUCCACCAGGUGGGGUGUGAAAUCCCACGGCUCAACCGUGGAAUUGCGCUCCAAACCGGUGGACUUGAGAAAGACAGGGGUGAGCGGAACUGAUGGUGGAGCGGUGAAAUGCGUUGAUAUCAUCAGGAACACCGGUGGCGAAGGCGGCUCACUGGGUCUUUACUGACGCUGAGGCACGAAAGCUAGGGGAGCGAACGGG
rnacentral:rRNA from 1 species